CAAAGGGGCCCUUGUAAACCUCGUAACCAGGUUUAUCCUCAGAAAAGAAUUGGACAAUCCCUCCGACAGUUCAAUCAGGCAUGGUUUAAUGAAUGUCCUAACUGGUUAGAGUACAGCAUAGCAAAAGAUGCUGUGUUUUGUUUAUGUUGUUUUCUUUUCAGACCAGAUAAUGGAGGUAAGGCGGGUGGUAGAUCUUUCGUUAGUGCGGGCUUCUCAUCUUGGAAGAAGAAAGGCAAGUUGCAAACUCAUUUGGGAGGCCAUAAUAGUGCUCAAAACCAAGCAUGGUCUAAAUGUCUAGACUUGCUGGGCCAAAAGCAGCUUAUUUAGGAGAUUUCUCCUAAGCAAUCAGACCAUGCUCAAAAUGAAUUCCGAACCUUCUUGAAAGCAUCAAUUGAUUCAGUUUGGUACGUUCUAAGGCAGGGAUUUCUCUUUUGUGAUCCCGAUGAGAAUUUGUUCAAUGUAAGUAAUGAAGGGUUAUUUCUUGAACUGUUGAACUUUGCUGCUGACAAAAAUGAACAUAUCAAAGCAGUACUUGCAUUGGACGAUGGUCCUCAAAAUCUUGAAUUGGCAUUUGCUGAUCUUCGGAAGGAUAUAGUGAGUGUGUGGCUGCAUUUGAAACAAUCAGAGAGAUUAUUAGGGAUCUGGGUGAUGGACCCUUUUCUAUUUGGAUUGAUGAAACCCGUGACGUCUCAAAGGAGGAUCAAAUGGCAGUUGUGCUAAGAAUUGUGAAUGUUGUUGGAGCUCCAUGCUAACAUCAAGAUAUUCUUAGGGAGAAACAAGCUGCCAAAAUUGUCGAGGCACUUAAUAUUUGAGAGCUUUCAAGUGGCCAAGGCUUAAAUCAAGAGAACCGAAAUGACUCUUCUGGUGAUAUGUGUUGUGGCUCACACUAUAGUGCUUUGGUUAACUUGAUCGGUAUGUUCGCAGCUGUGAAGACCGAGGAAAAGCACGCAGCUUGUUGGGCGUAAUGCUCACAUUUGACUUUGUAUUCAGUCUCUAUCUGCUGAAAACAAUAUUGGGAAUUACAAAUGAGUUGUCAAUGACAUUGCAAACGAGGGAUAGCGGUAUUGUGAACGCUGUCGAAUUACUUGAAGUGUCUAAAAGACGAUUUCGCAUGAUGAGGAAAAGUGGUUGGACCUCUUUACUUGAUGAGGUCUCCUCAUUUUGUGUAGAACAUGAAAUUGACGUUCCUAAUAUGGUAUGGCUGAUCUCUUUACUGGGAAAGGGUGAAGAAAAGGUAAAGUUCAGGAAAUUACGAACUUGCAAUUCUACAGGGUUGAGGUAUUCUGUGAUGUCAUAGAUUUGCAGAUUCAAGAACUAAAUGCUCUUUCUCUUGACUCGAGCAUUGAGUUGCUACUUUGUGUGGCAUGUUUGAGUCCAUCUAACUCGUUCUCUCGGUUUGACAAGAAAAAUUUGAUGCGCCUUGCUGAGUUUUAU